CAGCUUGGAGGACCUCUUCAUCAAAACCUUGGAAAUUUGAGCUGCAUGAGGAGGCUCUUUCUUUCUGCCAACAAUUUUACUGGAACAAUUCCAGACACAUUCAGCAAAUUGAAGAACUUGACAGAUUUUAGGAUAGAUGGGAGUGUACUAUCUGGGAAGAUACCUGAUCUGAUUGGGAACUGGACAAAAAUUAAAACACUGCACAUGCAAGGCACAUCCAUGGAUGGUCCCAUUCCUUCUACCAUAUCCCAGCUGAAAAACAUAACCGAGUU